rnacentral:misc_RNA from 1 species
AAGUCGUAACAAGGUCUCCGUAGGUGAACCUGCGGAGGGAUCAUUAACACGUUUCCAAAAAACGUUUAUCAACCAAAUCAACGUGAACCAGUAACAACUCCCUUGUCAGUGUGACGAACGAACAAUCAUCAGGGUGGAGAUCGGCUUCGGCCGAACUAUGACUCGUUCUAGGGGCCCUUCGAGGCUCCAAUCCGCUGGCAAGUGUCUUUGCGACCACCUGGCAGUCUACAUUCGUGUAGCGUUCUGCCGAAUUUGUUUAACCCAAUAUUUUUAACCCCUUUCACAACAUACUAAUAACUGAACCAUGGUCAUGCAGUCGCUUGUCUGAUUUCGGUCAGGCUUGUCGGCUCGUGAUACGAUAUACGUAAUGCUGAACAACUCUUAGCAAUGGAUAUCUUGGUUCUC